rnacentral:rRNA from 1 species
UGGGGAAUAUUGCACAAUGGGCGCAAGCCUGAUGCAGCCAUGCCGCGUGUAUGAAGAAGGCCUUCGGGUUGUAAAGUACUUUCAGUCGGGAGGAAGGUGUCAAGGUUAAUAACCUUGGCAAUUGACGUUACCGACAGAAGAAGCACCGGCUAACCCCGUGCCAGCAGCCGCGGUAAUACGGAGGGUGCAAGCGUUAAUCGGAAUUACUGGGCGUAAAGCGCACGCAGGCGGUUGAUUGAGUCAGAUGUGAAAUCCCCGGGCUUAACCCGGGAAUUGCAUCUGAUACUGGUCAGCUAGAGUCUUGUAGAGGGGGGUAGAAUUCCAUGUGUAGCGGUGAAAUGCGUAGAGAUGUGGAGGAAUACCGGUGGCGAAGGCGGCCCCCUGGACAAAGACUGACGCUCAGGUGCGAAAGCGUGGGGAGCAAACAGG